AGCUCAUAAUUAAUUACCAUAACAAGAACUCCAAAUCUAACAUUUAGCUAAUUAUUUCUUUACUAGAGAAUAACUUCACAUCAUAUACAAACUAACUACAGCACCUAUACAGUACAUUGAAUAAGCUCAGAGUCAUAUAACGUAGGAGUAGUGAAACUAAAUUGAAGAUUCAAAACAUGUUGAAGUCAUGUUUAGCUUUAUUUGUCAUAAGGACAUAUAUAAAUAAACACAUAUACUUUGAACCAAACUGAUCUCAAACGAGAGCUUCCCAUCUAAUCAUACUUACAUGUCCACUUACUCAUCCACAAGCUUGCUUAUACUACUUCUAAACAUGCUAUUUAACAUUGAAACUAAACAUUUAAGUCCAAACCCAAGCAAAACUUUAUAAUAUGCAGGAAACAUCUCAUUUAGCAUCUAUCACUACAGAUCUACUGCAUAAUGUGAAGCAACAAAAGGAACAGAGAAAAACUAAGUCGAAUACAACUUGUAUUCCAUCAAAUUCCACUUGAAUUACAUAGUCAACAUUUAGUCAUUGUUCAUGGGCUAGAGAGAUACCUGGAAAGAAAAAUAAUAAAAAGGUGAGAAGAUCAGCAGUCAACAGUAGCAGUCAACCCAUAUUUGAUCAAUCAAGCAAUGAAAUCAGCUUAUGGAAAUCAAUGGAACAUUGGAAAAAUUCUAAAACCAACUCUAAACCAUGACUUAAACCAUUUCUCAAAUCAAAAGUGUAACCAGGGAAAUUUGGAGAAUCUUAGCUAACACCAAAGAAAUCAGAAAUCCAAAUGAGAGAAUUUUGAUAGUCCUUUGAUAAUAGAAUGCAAGAAUUUCAUAAAUUGUUUUAUGAAUUUCAGCCAUCUCAGCUUUCCAGGGGUCUUUUUUCUCUUAAAAACUGCCUUGAGCUUAAAAAAGAAUGCAUUUAUAGGAAAGGUUUUAGGGCUGCAUAAAUGAGCUAAGUUUUGCACCAUAAACCUUUUUAAAUUUUUAUUUUUGCCUAAAUACCCUUAGUUUAAAAUUAGUUUUUCAAAAUUAGCCCCAAAACUCACCUUCCAGGAAACUUCCCCAGUCAGUUAUACAAGAUUCCCUUACCCAAAUGCCCUAAACAAUCCCUUAAACCCCUUGUUUUUAUCCUCAAGACCAAACAGGUAUAGGUCACAUUGACCCAAUGGUCCAACCAAACAUGGGCUCAGAUUCAAACCAAACAAAACUCCCUUGAACUGGGGUCUAAACUAACCUCAAAGUCCAAGCAGCAAACACGACCAAAACCAAAUCAGUAGUUCAAUAUAGGUAAAAGAAAACACUUAAAUAAUAUCAGAAAACUAAAACCUAAACUAAUUGACUAAUUAAUUAACACAAACAGGCAGGGAAUUAACUGAGUUAUUAAAAUACACCUAAAUAAAUUAAACUAAGUGACUAAACAAGAGGUGAAAUCAGAGGUGUAAACAUGCCUUUAACAAAAAUAAAUAAAUCGAGAAAAUCAUAGAAUAAACUUAAUAGAGAAAAACAAACACAAAGAAAAGAUGUCCUAGGUUCAGAACCCUGGUCUAGUCUCGGUUGAGAUGACAUUUGACCAAAGAAAAGAAGAACAACAGAAGACAGAUAAGAGGUAACGUAAAACAUAAAUGAACCGAAAGAAAAAUGAAGGGAACUCACCAGCUAAGCUCGAAGUCGAUACUGGCACUCUGAGUCAACCUAAAAGAAUGCCAAACGCUUGUUCUUGGUGAAGAACAAACGAAUAUCAUUAUUUCGUGCUAAAACAGGCUUAAACAAGAUAGGGAAUUCAGAAAAGUAACCUUGCAUGUGCAGGUUUAAUUUUAAGCUUCUAGGGCUCGAACCUCAGAUUCAAUAUUCGAAGAGCCCUGGAUAGAUUCGAGGGAUACCAACGAUAGAUUAGAAAAGAGGUGGCUAUGGAGGUCUUAUAGUGUUAAUUUGGGGUAAUUUGAGGGUGGCGGUGGGGAAACGAGGCGGCGCUUUAGGGUUUUGCUUUUGAUCUAACAUUCGAUAAGUUCCAGGGAGAUUUGAAGCAAACGGAGUAGGGAUUUGAGAUGAGGGGAGUGAGGUGGUUCUAGGGUGUGGUUUUGGGGUUGAUUGGUGGUCGGCCGCCGUCGUAGGCAGGCGGGUGGCUUGUGGUGGCGAUUUAUAGAGACGAAAGGGAAUCUCUGAGUUUGUUUUUGGGGGGUAGGGGGUUUGAUCCGACUAUUAUAAGGAAAAGACCAAAUCAGUUACG
rnacentral:lncRNA from 1 species